UCAUCUAUAAAAUGGAUAUAAUACCUACUCUGUAGCAUGGCUAUGAGAAUCAAAUGCAUUAGUUAGAUGAAAAGUGCUUGGAACAGCGCACAGAGAAUAACGAGUACCCAGCCGUUCUCAGCUAUUGUUAUUGUUAUUGAACAUCCACUGUGUGUUUGGCACUGGUAGGCUUGGACAGCACAUUCAAGAUGGCUACUCUCCUAGUGAUCACAACUUAGUGUAAUAUUCAUAAGAGUAUCUAAUCGAAAGCCAAGUGCACAGAAGAAACUUAACAUAGUUUAUUUUCCUUUUCUUUUGCUUUCCAGGGAAAAAGCUACGUGCUAGUUUCCCAAAGACUAAAAACUAGGACCUAUGAUGAGUCCUGGAUCCUGCUGCAGGUCCUACUUGUUGAUGGUUUGAAAGAAAUAUGAAUCUUUUUCCAGAGUCAGUUUCUGUUUCUUGUAACUGGAGAAUCCUGACUAAUAAAGGACCUUUAGGGGACACUGAAGAAUUUGAAGGCAAAGGAGAUGCUGUAAAUUGGAAGAAGAUGGCACAAGAGAGCAUUCUGAGUGUAUUAUAUAACUGCCAUGGGUAGUAGCAGGGAUGGACAAAUACACUUUGAACAAAAGAAAAGGGCUCAAAACAAUGAGGCAUGGCUUAGAUUACUUGCUUUUCAGACUUCGAAUCUGUUAUUUUAAGCAGAAGAAAGCCAGUCACUGCUAUAAGAAGGACCCUCACUUAUUAAGCAGCAGGCUUACAUAAGAAGAGGCUGUGACAACAAGAAGCGUAUUGGUGUAGACGUACCUCGUCUCUUACCUGCUUUCAGUAGGUCAGCAAAUGUACCUUGUUUGCUGUUUUCCUCAUUGACAGUUCAUUACAAAAUGAGGUAGGUUAUUUUUUUUUCUGACUACAUUAGCAAAAACAGAGAAGUAAUUAAUACAUAAAGUACCAAAUAUGAAAUAUUACUCUGCACAGAGGCAUUUCACACUUCACUGAUUUCAUGAGUAGGCCAGAGGUGCCAGAACAAUAAUUAAUAUGUUGUAAGGGAAAAAUUAUUAUGCAAGGUCAGCAGCAUUUGAAGACUUUACAAAGAAGAGGGAUUAAAAGAUAUUAUGAAACUAUUUAUUAAAUAGUGCUUAAAAUUGGGUUUUAAGUGAAUAUUUGAAGAAAUAUAAAAUUUUUCUAUGAGAAAUUAGUAGGAAUUUUUCAUCACUGAAAGUAUGCCUCUUUAUGCAAUGCAUAAUGUAUAUAAAUAUAUUGACUUUUGGGGAAAUGUGAAUAAAUAUGUGUAGGUAAGUAUGAGUGGACUUAUGCUUGAGUAUACGGACAUCAUUAUUUCUGAAUUUUCAAUGAAAUGGUAAAAUUUAAAACUCAAGCAAAUUCAUUUAUAUUAUUUAUUUAUG